rnacentral:snoRNA from 1 species
CAUGGCAAAUGAUGAAAGUCUUAUCCUACACACUGAACAAUGAUGUGGAUUAAUACUCUGCUUAUUGUCUGAUGCCAUU